rnacentral:rRNA from 1 species
UGGUCUGAGAGGAUGGCCAGCCACACUGGAACUGAGACACGGUCCAGACUCCUACGGGAGGCAGCAGUGGGGAAUAUUGGACAAUGGGGGCAACCCUGAUCCAGCAAUGCCGCGUGUGUGAAGAAGGCCUGAGGGUUGUAAAGCACUUUCAGUGGGGAGGAGGAUUGCCAGGUUAAGAGCUWARWARUAGGUAAUUGGACGUUACCCACAGAAGAAGCACCGGCUAACUCCGUGCCAGCAGCCGCGGUAAUACGGAGGGUGCGAGCGUUAAUCGGAAUUACUGGGCGUAAAGGGUGCGUAGGUGGUUUAUUAAGUUAUCUGUGAAAUCCCUGGGCUCAACCUGGGCAGGUCAGAUAAKACUGGUAAACUCGAGUAUGGGAG